CCUGCUUACACCUGAGACCCCAGAAGAGAGAUGAGGGCCAAACACAAACUUAGGGCAAGACUCAAAGGGGUGGGAGGACUCCUCUCCCUCCCAGCAACUUCCUCCCUGGCUAGAGCAUCUAUCCCCAGCUGUCUCCAAGGGUCAGGCCCUCCCCACAAAUAGAGAAGGGGAGGGAGGGAAGGAAGGGAGGCUGCUUCAUCCCAGGUUGGAGGCUCCAGGUGAUACCGUGCAGGGGUGUGAGAGACCAGUUUGCGCCCUUAUCUAACUCAGAGAACAUACCCUCAAAAAACCCAUGCGCAAAAGGAGAAUCAUUCGCUCAUUGGAGAAACUAUGCCUGGAGAAUGUGGCUAUGCAUAUGAAAAGGCUAUGGGUUAAGGUUUACUCGAGGUAUGCCAAGCUGGCCAGGAAUCGUGACCAUGACGCCAUCACAGGACCCUUCAGCAUGCUGGCUGGCUCUCUUCUCCAGGAACUGCUUGAGAUCAUGCGAGAGAGAAAAUUUCUGACCCCAUCCAUACUUCACAUUCUCCUUUUGCCACAACUAAAGUCACUGAAUUUGAAUUACUGCUCAUCUUAUGUUGGCAACACUCUUGCCCACACCAUCACAGUACGCUGCAAGAAUCUUUCCUCGCUGGCUCUUCGUUACUGCUACCGGAUUCAUGCGGAUGCUUUGAUCGAGCUUGUGAAAGCUUUGCCGUGCCUCACCAAACUAAACCUUUCAUCCACCCAGUGCAACACACAAGUACUUUCCACCAUUCGCACUUUCUGUCUUAAAAUUGAAGGAUUGGAUAUCGAUAAGUGUAGGAAACUAUCCUCAGAGUCCCUCCUUCACUUGGUCUAUGACCCUGUUGCAGGAUCGUACGGUUGCCAGUCAUUGCAGAGGCUCAGAGCUGAAGGACUGACGCCCACCACUGACUUUCAGAGCUCGCUUUUGCUUCUGGUCUUUGUGCUUCUAGCAUUGCCCAAGCUGAAAUAUUUUUUUCAUGAUUUGGUUCCACAAGCUAUAUGUCUGAUCUAUGACCAGGAAUUUCAUGGUGCCCGGAUGCCUGCUGGGUUUCCAUCCCUGGAGGAAGUUGCACGGUACAGGACAUCUACUCACCCAAAUGAGGAAAGUGGCAGAUUCACACUUCCCCUCAGGAAAAUUAAUUUCAUUCCACUUUCCUUGUUGCCUAAGAUUGGUGCUGUGUGCCCUCACCUCUUGGAAAUCUCUAUGAUUCUUAGAGAUAUCUGGAACUUGGAUCAGCAUGUCUUGCCAUGGCACGGUCUCACCCAUCUCAGUCUUGGUACCGAUCAAAGGAUGGACUUGAAGGAGCUUUUACCUGUGACAGCUAACAUUGGGACCCAGCUUAAAUUUCUUAAACUUAAUGGAUUUAUCUUUAAAGAUGAGUUCACCCUCCACACCUUGCUGAGCCACUGCCCAAAUCUCCUGACAUGUGUGUUGUUCCUUCCCUCUCCAGAGAGCAAUGGUCAUCAGAGUCAGCCACAGAAUGAAGCCAGAGCAAGGAACUUGUGCCUGCCUCCUCUCCAGUUCCCUGAGCUUGUUAACUUUUGCCUGGAGUCCCAUGAAUUCGUUACCCCGUUGCCUUCCCUGUAUAAACUGGUUUUGGGAAAUAUCCUGGAAUCAGUGUUCAAAUAUUCCCCAUGCCUGGAGAUCUUGCAUCUAUUCUGUCUGCCCUGCUCUCUGGAUGAGGCAUUUCAGAAAGCACUAAAACCACCUAGUACUGCCCUGCAAUGUCUUCAGGAGCUUGAACUAGCUCGGGCUCAGAUAUCAAUUCGCACCAUCGAUUUGCUGAUUUUCUCUGAGAAUCAGCUGAGAUUACUCUCCUUGGAGAAAUGCUUCCACAUAAGCCGGGUAGACUACAAUGAGCUCCUCCGAAGAGUCAGGAAAGAGAACUUGGAAGUAAUUAUUAUGCGGGAAUGAAAAAACCCAACUCGCUCCACUUGCUCAGAAUGGCAGCUCCAUUGCUCAUAGGGCCAGGACAGUACGUAAUUUUUUUCAAUAAAGCUUAUUUUAUACUACUAAAACCUUUGUCUCUGAAUUAUAUUGUGAUAAAAACACAAGAAGAAUUGGGUGUUCCAGAGGGACUGGAACAACAUUUGGAGGACCUAAAUGGGUUUGUUUAUUUAUUAUUUAAAACAUUUAUAUUCUGCCCUUCUCACCCCGAAGGAGACUCAGGGCAGAACACAACAUAUAUAUGGCAUACAUUCCAUUCCGGGCCAUAAAAUAAUUAUAAAUCUACAGAAACAUAAAAACAUUAAACAUUAAAAUGAGUUAUAUCUACUUUAAAAUCGGCUGUUUAAACCAACUCAGGAC
rnacentral:lncRNA from 11 species